rnacentral:rRNA from 1 species
GACAGAGGGUGCAAACGUUGCUCGGAAUCACUGGGCGUAAAGGGCGUGUAGGCGGGAAGGAUAGUCAGAUGUGAAAGCCCUGGGCUCAACCCAGGAACUGCAUUUGAAACUCCCUUUCUUGAGUGUCGGAGAGGAAAGCGGAAUUCCUGGUGUAGAGGUGAAAUUCGUAGAUAUCAGGAGGAACACCGGUGGCGAAGGCGGGUCUCUGGGCCGAUACUGACGCUGAGGAGCGAAAGCGUGGGGAGCGAACAGG